rnacentral:rRNA from 1 species
GGUUAAGCGACUAAGCGUACACGGUGGAUGCCCUGGCAGUCAGAGGCGAUGAAGGACGUGCUAAUCUGCGAUAAGCGUCGGUAAGGUGAUAUGAACCGUUAUAACCGGCGAUUUCCGAAUGGGGAAACCCAGUGUGUUUCGACACACUAUCAUUAACUGAAUCCAUAGGUUAAUGAGGCGAACCGGGGGAACUGAAACAUCUAAGUACCCCGAGGAAAAGAAAUCAACCGAGAUUCCCCAGUAGCGGCGAGCGAACGGGGAGCAGCCCAGAGCCUGAAUCAGUGUGUGUGUUAGUGGAAGCGUCUGGAAAGGCGCGCGAUACAGGGUGACAGCCCCGUACACAAAAAUGCACAUGCUGUGAGCUCGAUGAGUAGGGCGGGACACGUGGUAUCCUGUCUGAAUAUGGGGGGACCAUCCUCCAAGGCUAAAUACUCCUGACUGACCGAUAGUGAACCAGUACCGUGAGGGAAAGGCGAAAAGAACCCCGGCGAGGGGAGUGAAAAAGAACCUGAAACCGUGUACGUACAAGCAGUGGGAGCACGCUUAGGCGUGUGACUGCGUACCUUUGUAUAAUGGGUCAGCGACUUAUAUUCUGUAGCAAGGUUAACCGAAUAGGGGAGCCGAAGGGAAACCGAGUCUUAACUGGGCGUUAAGUUGCAGGGUAUAGACCCGAAACCCGGUGAUCUAGCCAUGGGCAGGUUGAAGGUUGGGUAACACUAACUGGAGGACCGAACCGACUAAUGUUGAAAAAUUAGCGGAUGACUUGUGGCUGGGGGUGAAAGGCCAAUCAAACCGGGAGAUAGCUGGUUCUCCCCGAAAGCUAUUUAGGUAGCGCCUCGUGAAUUCAUCUCCGGGGUAGAGCACUGUUUCGGCAAGGGGUCAUCCCGACUUACCAACCCGAUGCAAACUGCGAAUACCGGAGAAUGUUAUCACGGGAGACACACGGCGGGUGCUAACGUCCGUCGUGAAGAGGGAAACAACCCAGACCGCCAGCUAAGGUCCCAAAGUCAUGGUUAAGUGGGAAACGAUGUGGGAAGGCCCAGACAGCCAGGAUGUUGGCUUAGAAGCAGCCAUCAUUUAAAGAAAGCGUAAUAGCUCACUGGUCGAGUCGGCCUGCGCGGAAGAUGUAACGGGGCUAAACCAUGCACCGAAGCUGCGGCAGCGACGCUUAUGCGUUGUUGGGUAGGGGAGCGUUCUGUAAGCCUGCGAAGGUGUGCUGUGAGGCAUGCUGGAGGUAUCAGAAGUGCGAAUGCUGACAUAAGUAACGAUAAAGCGGGUGAAAAGCCCGCUCGCCGGAAGACCAAGGGUUCCUGUCCAACGUUAAUCGGGGCAGGGUGAGUCGACCCCUAAGGCGAGGCCGAAAGGCGUAGUCGAUGGGAAACAGGUUAAUAUUCCUGUACUUGGUGUUACUGCGAAGGGGGGACGGAGAAGGCUAUGUUGGCCGGGCGACGGUUGUCCCGGUUUAAGCGUGUAGGCUGGUUUUCCAGGCAAAUCCGGAAAAUCAAGGCUGAGGUGUGAUGACGAGGCACUACGGUGCUGAAGCAACAAAUGCCCUGCUUCCAGGAAAAGCCUCUAAGCAUCAGGUAACAUCAAAUCGUACCCCAAACCGACACAGGUGGUCAGGUAGAGAAUACCAAGGCGCUUGAGAGAACUCGGGUGAAGGAACUAGGCAAAAUGGUGCCGUAACUUCGGGAGAAGGCACGCUGAUAUGUAGGUGAAGUCCCUCGCGGAUGGAGCUGAAAUCAGUCGAAGAUACCAGCUGGCUGCAACUGUUUAUUAAAAACACAGCACUGUGCAAACACGAAAGUGGACGUAUACGGUGUGACGCCUGCCCGGUGCCGGAAGGUUAAUUGAUGGGGUUAGCCGCAAGGCGAAGCUCUUGAUCGAAGCCCCGGUAAACGGCGGCCGUAACUAUAACGGUCCUAAGGUAGCGAAAUUCCUUGUCGGGUAAGUUCCGACCUGCACGAAUGGCGUAAUGAUGGCCAGGCUGUCUCCACCCGAGACUCAGUGAAAUUGAACUCGCUGUGAAGAUGCAGUGUACCCGCGGCAAGACGGAAAGACCCCGUGAACCUUUACUAUAGCUUGACACUGAACAUUGAGCCUUGAUGUGUAGGAUAGGUGGGAGGCUUUGAAGUGUGGACGCCAGUCUGCAUGGAGCCGACCUUGAAAUACCACCCUUUAAUGUUUGAUGUUCUAACGUUGACCCGUAAUCCGGGUUGCGGACAGUGUCUGGUGGGUAGUUUGACUGGGGCGGUCUCCUCCUAAAGAGUAACGGAGGAGCACGAAGGUUGGCUAAUCCUGGUCGGACAUCAGGAGGUUAGUGCAAUGGCAUAAGCCAGCUUGACUGCGAGCGUGACGGCGCGAGCAGGUGCGAAAGCAGGUCAUAGUGAUCCGGUGGUUCUGAAUGGAAGGGCCAUCGCUCAACGGAUAAAAGGUACUCCGGGGAUAACAGGCUGAUACCGCCCAAGAGUUCAUAUCGACGGCGGUGUUUGGCACCUCGAUGUCGGCUCAUCACAUCCUGGGGCUGAAGUAGGUCCCAAGGGUAUGGCUGUUCGCCAUUUAAAGUGGUACGCGAGCUGGGUUUAGAACGUCGUGAGACAGUUCGGUCCCUAUCUGCCGUGGGCGCUGGAGAACUGAGGGGGCUGCUCCUAGUACGAGAGGACCGGAGUGGACGCAUCACUGGUGUUCGGGUUGUCAUGCCAAUGGCACUGCCCGGUAGCUAAAUGCGGAAGAGAUAAGUGCUGAAAGCAUCUAAGCACGAAACUUGCCCCGAGAUGAGUUCUCCCUGACCCUUUAAGGGUCCUGAAGGAACGUUGAAGACGACGACGUUGAUAGGCCGGGUGUGUAAGCGCAGCGAUGCGUUGAGCUAACCGGUACUAAUGAACCGUGAGGCUUAACCUU